rnacentral:rRNA from 1 species
GUAUAAGAGACAGCAGCCGCCGCGGUAAUACGUAGGGUGCAAGCGUUAAUCGGAAUUACUGGGCGUAAAGCGUGCGCAGGCGGUUAUAUAAGACAGAUGUGAAAUCCCCGGGCUCAACCUGGGAACUGCAUUUGUGACUGUAUAGCUAGAGUACGGCAGAGGGGGAUGGAAUUCCGCGUGUAGCAGUGAAAUGCGUAGAUAUGCGGAGGAACACCGAUGGCGAAGGCAAUCCCCUGGGCCUGUACUGACGCUCAUGCACGAAAGCGUGGGGAGCAAACAGGAUUAGAUACCCCAGUAGUCCCUGUCUCUUAUAC